ensembl:lncRNA
GACAAAUAUUAGGGGUCAACUCUCCAAUGGGGCUCCUGUGAUUGUUACCUUUCAUUAGAGACAAACACACCUGAGCUGAACCUCACCUGAUCCUGUUUGGUCGGGGGUAGACACACCUGAGCUACACCCGCCCUGAUCCUGCUGUUCCCGUCUCCUCAGUUCAUCUGAGCCUCGUCCUCCAGAAGACCUGCUGAGCUCAGCAGUCUGAGGCUGAUGGAUCAAUGACCUCCAGUGGGAGUUAUCUUCUUGACCCCACAUAUCAGGAAUCUGGAGGACUGAUGGAGAAGCCGUACAUCUGGAAGGCAAAUCCUGAGGACCACCAGGGCUCUACCAUCAAGGAUUCCUCAUAAGUUUGCAUUAUCUGGACAUAGUGGACUAGACACACCUGAGCUGAACCUCACCUGAUCCUGUUUGGUCGGGGGUAGACACACCUGAGCUACACCCGUCCUGAUCCUGACAUCCUGCUGUUCCCAUCUCCUCAGUUCAUCUGAGCCUCGUCCUCCAGAAGACCUGCUGAGCUCGGCAGUCUGAGGCUGAUGGAUCAAUGACCUCCAGUGGGAGUGAUCUUCUUGACCCCACAUGUAACUGUGUGCUUCCACACGCCUUUCCCUCAUGUCUGUCACUAACCUCACUACUUCACUUCUCUCUACUGCUUCCUCUUUUCUUCCUUCUCUGUGGUUCAAACCUUUACACUGAAGGCGCUUCUUCCUGCCCUCAGAGGGUUUAGCAUUAGGGUUGAGAGUCAGGGUUUAGAGUCAGGGACAGAGCUGGUCAGGGAGGACUGCUUUUACACAAACCUCUUCACUUGCUUUCGGUAUGGUGGUGACAUUUUGAAAAGUUUCAUUUGGGAAAAUGUUUUUCUCUGCUUUCCUUUACAAAAUUGUGUUAAACUUCUGUCAAGUGUUUUUGUUUACAUAUUAAAAUCCCACAUUGACUUCUACAUGUUUGGUGCGGUUCAUUUAAUUGUCCUUUUAACUUGGUUAAUGUCAAGCUAAACUCCUAAACUACUGUUCCCUCUUGUUUCAAGCACACGGUUGUCCAGCCGUUACAUCCAGGUUAUGUAGAAACAUAACCUGGAUGUUAACUGCCCAAAUAACUACCGUCCCAUAUCUAAAC